rnacentral:rRNA from 1 species
GAUGAACGCUGGCGGCGUGCUUAACACAUGCAAGUCGAACGAACCUUCGGGUUAGUGGCGGACGGGUGAGUAACGCGUGGGAAUCUGCCCUCAGGAGGGGGGAUAACGGCUGGAAACGGCCGCUAAUACCCAUAUGCCGAGAGGUGAAAUGAAUUUCGCCUGAGGAUGAGCCCGCGUCUGAUUAGCUAGUUGGUGUGGUAAUGGCGCACCAAGGCUUCGAUCAGUAGCUGGUCUGAGAGGAUGAUCAGCCACACUGGGACUGAGACACGGCCCAGACUCCUACGGGAGGCAGCAGUGGGGAAUUUUCCGCAAUGGGCGAAAGCCUGACGGAGCAACGCCGCGUGAGGGAUGAAGGCCUCUGGGCUGUAAACCUCUUUUCUCAAGG